ensembl:lncRNA
CUUUCAGGACCAGGUUGAAAAGCAGCUCCUGGUUGUGCAGAGCUGAAAGGAAGUUGCCUGACUGAAGGGUCCCUGAAGCCUGAGGAGAUGGGCCCAGAAGAAGAACUGAGGCCAACAGAUGGUGCUGGUCCUCUUUGAGCAGUAGGAUAAGAGAUGCCGGGCCCCACGUGUGGUUGAGUUGGAUUACGUUGCAUGAUGACCCCUUUGGGAACUUUGGGCCAAACUACAGACUGAUCUCCCUGGUUUGCAUUUACAGCAGGAGCAGCUUGUGAGUAACUGCUGACAUGGGAAGAGCUGGGAUUUGAGCCUGAAUACAAGAAGACACAAUUAAAGUCACAAGUGGAUUAAACUGAAAGUCUCACUGGAGUAGAUGCUUUACCUUGGUUAUAAGGAAAGCAGCAAAUGUCCACAAACAACAGAGCAAAGAGGGAAGCCCUGAAAACAUCAGAAAAAACAAACUAAGACAAAGUGUUUCUCAGUAACCUGUCAUGUUAAAGAGACCCAGCUACUUACCCAGCAACAAACUGAGCUCGCAGUUUGUUGCUGGGGCUUCCCUCUUUGCUCUGUUGUUUGUGGACAUUUGCUGCUUUCCUUAUAACCAAGGCUCAAAUCCCAGCGCUUCCCAUGUCAGCAGUUACUCACAAGCUGCUCCUGCUGUAAAUUCAAACCAGGGAGAUCAGUCUGUAGUUUGGCCCAAAGUUCCCAAAGGGGUCAUCAUGCAACGUAAUCCAACUCAACCACACGUGGGGCCCGGCAUCUCUUAUCCUACUGCUCAAAGAGGACCAGCACCAUCUGUUGGCCUCAGUUCUUCUUCUGGGCCCAUCUCCUCAGGCUUCAGGGACCCUUCAGUCAGGCAACUUCCUUUCAGCUCUGCACAACCAGGAUCUGCUUUUCAACCUGGUCCUGAAAGAAUCCACAUGGCUCCUCCCAAUCCUAACUCUGGAGGUGUGGGAGUGUCUGGUAUCCGUGACGUUGCUUCCAGUUUCCCUGAGGAAGUGAGUCCACCAACUGAAUCACCGUACAAAGCGGGAGAGCUCUCCCAGUUUGAUAGAAGCUUUGACUAUGGCAACAACGAGAUGGAGACUGAGCAACGCGGCAGUCGGCCUCCACCACCCUUCUUUGGUCCAGCGUCUGCUGGACAAGGUUUUGCAGGACCACUUCAGCCAAACACCAACAUUGGUUUAGGAUUUGACUUCUUUCCUUCCCCUUACUACGACUACAUGUUCCUGACUGGCCAGUAUCCUCCAGGCACCUUCAGUCAUACCAGCAGCAGCUAUAAUCAGGGGAGGGACUACUACGAAGACAUUCAGUAUGAGAGACCCGGUCGUGAGCAGCCGAUGGCGCCAGUCGCUGACUUUCAAUCCCCCCAGAGCAUCAAGGGUCCCAAUCCUCGGAUGGCUGGUUACAGGCAAGUUGGUGCAAAGGCCAAACCUGAUUCUUCCCACAGAGGCUUCAAGCCGGUUAGUGGCCAAGCUGGUGGCCGCAACCAAGUUAAGGUGGGGAUGCCUUCAGUGUACAAAGCCUUUUGAAUGCAAUAAAAGUUUUAAGAUGUCAACUUGACUGCUUUCCUUAUAUUUUUUUUUUGAUGUGCCAAAAUUAUGCAUGACAGGUUUAUUUGGAGAUGAAGAUUCAUACACCUGAACAUGGAUUAAUUUUAUAGAAUUUACUGGAAAAUGUUUACAGCUGUAGCAUUGGUAAUCUGUAUAAACUGCAUCCAGUUUGUGUUAUACAGCAUUUCUCAGUUGCUUUGGUACAUUUCUUGACUACUCUUUGACAUUUGCAAAAGGACGUGCAUUUUUCAAAAUUCGUACAAAUCUCAGAACACCACGAUUGCCUCCAAAAGCUCUUGCUCUCAGUUCAUCUCAAGUGAAAUCUGUCAGUGCCAUCCGAAUGAGUCAUUGUGUACGGAUCAAACUGUCAAAUUGCUUAGUUGUGUUGUCUGCCAAACCUUGUACUCUAGUGGUUUUGCUCUGGUGUAAAUGAUGGCAUUGUAAGUUACACCUUGGUGUCUGGGAGAUUGCAAGAGACUGGACAAGAUUCACUUUCCCACUUUUACGGUUUGUACUGUAAUGUGUUAACACUGUGUAGUCUUUUCCUUUCAGUAUUGUAAUGCCAAAAACCAGUGAACAUGGAACAAUCUCCUUCGGGAAGGCUGUAUAUCCUGUGUUGUAGGAAUUACAGUGCAGUCUUCCUACAC